AUUGAACGCUGGCGGCAUGCUUUACACAUGCAAGUCGUACGAGUGGCGAACGGGUGAGUAAUAUAUCGGAACGUACCGAGUAAUGGGGGAUAACUAAUCGAAAGAUUAGCUAAUACCGCAUAUUAUUCGAGCGGCCGCUAUCUGAUUAGCUAGUUGGUGGGGUAAAGGCCUACCAUGGCGACGAUCAGUAGCGGGUCUGAGAGGAUGAUCCGCGACACUGGUACUGUGACACGGCCCAGACUCCUACGGGAGGCAGCAGUGGGGAAUUGUGGACAAUGGGCGCAAGCCUGAUCCAGCCAUGCCGCGUGUCUGAAGAAGGCCUUCGGGUUGUAAAGUACUUUUGUCAGGGAAGCGGUACCUGAAGAAUAAGCCCCGGCUAACUACGGGCCAGCAGCCGCGGUAAUAC
rnacentral:rRNA from 1 species